rnacentral:rRNA from 1 species
AACGCUAGCGGCAGGCCUAAUACAUGCAAGUCGAACGGUAAAUAUUUUAGCAAUAGAAUAUGAGAGUGACGUACGGGUGCGUAACACGUAUGCAACCUACCCUUUACAGGCGGAUAGCUCGGGGAAACUCGAAUUAACCCGUCAUAAGAUCAUAGAGUGGCAUCACUUAGUGAUUAAAAUUACGGUGGUAAAGGAUGGGCAUGCGUCUGAUUAGUUAGUUGGCGGUGUAACGGACCACCAAGACGAUGAUCAGUAGGGGAACUGAGAGGUUGAUCCCCCACACUGGCACUGAGAUACGGGCCAGACUCCUACGGGAGGCAGCAGUAGGGAAUAUUGGUCAAUGGAUGGAAGUCUGAACCAGCCAUGCCGCGUGCAGGAAGAAGGCCUUCUGGGUUGUAAACUGCUUUUGCCAGGGGCUAAAAAGCUCAUGCGUGAGAAAUUGAAAGUACCUGGUGAAUAAGCCACGGCUAACUACGUGCCAGCAGCCGCGGUAAUACGUAGGUGGCAAGCGUUGUCCGGAUUUAUUGGGUUUAAAGGGUGCGUAGGCGGCUUUGUAAGUCAGUGGUGAAAUAUGGCAGCUCAACUGUCAGGGUGCCAUUGAUACUGCGGAGCUUGAGUACAGAUGAGGUAGGCGGAAUUGACGGUGUAGCGGUGAAAUGCUUAGAUAUCGUCAAGAACACCGAUAGCGAANGCAGCUUACUGGGCUGUAACUGACGCUGANGCACGAAAGUGUGGGGAUCAAACAGGAUUAGA